AGUUGCUGAGAGCAGGUGGUGUCCUGGUGUGUAAGCUGAUUUCAAAUAUCUGUUUAGCCUGAGCAGUUCUGGGAUUUGCUUGGGAGAAGAAGGAAUUCCCUUGCUGGAAUCUUUGUGUGCCAGAUCAACAACUGUUUUUCUUUUCCCUCACCUCAUGCUUUAAACUUUUUGCGUGACCAGAAGACAAGUUGGGGAUUCUCAACUCAAUUGAGCCUUUUUUUUGUUUUGUUUUCAGAUUAUUGGAAUAUUUAUUUCCCUUAUCAACCUUAACUUUGUUUUUUUUAUGGAAGUUUCUACCUAAUGUCCCUGCAGCUGGGUACUGCACACAUUUUUUUAGGUUCAUGUGGGGUUUUUGCCCUUGAACUCCAAGACUGCUUUGAAUGAGGACAAGGAAUGGGAGGGACUUUGGGUGUUUUUAUUUAACAGGACAAUGUCCCAAUAUCUGUAUUAACUUCUGUGUCUUUAUUAUUUAAUUCCCUAAAGAAUAUCAGAAUUAAAAUCCAGAUUUUUCUGCUCAGUCAUGACAUGACUACAGGAAUGUGGGGUUAGAAAAAAGCCCUGCUUUGGGAUACACCUGAAAAGAUGGGAGGGAAAUUCAUGUCAGGUAAAACCAGAUGGGUUCUUAUCUGAUGAUCUUAAUCUGAGAUUAAAUUUUAGGAAGGAGUUUUUAUGCAGAUUGACAUGGAAAUAAACAGUUUAUCUCCCUGCUUGGAUGACAGCAGUUGAACCCAUGAUUUACCUCUCAGGUUACACUCAGUAAAGUCUAAUUUUGGUUUUAA